UUUUUCAUUUCUCGUCAUCUCACGAGUCGUCUCGUCAUCCCGCUUUCGUCACCCUUCUCUCCACCUCCUCAUGUUCAGUCUAGAUCUACCCAUUGCCCUUUCUUCCUGGGCGAGCUCGCCUCAACCGCCGGGAGCUCGCCGCUAGAUAUGGUUUCCUUGUCCUCUUCGUCUCUUUCAUCCCCUCUGUGCUGCACUCCCAUGCCGACGCCGCCCCCAUCUCCGCCGGCUGCCGCGGUGGUUUGAGCUGUGCACGUGGCCAUGGUCUGCAUCUGCAACCUCUGCGGCGUAUGUCUCGUGGUCACCCGGCAGCUGCUCUCCAACGACACAGAACAACGCCACCCGUGCCACGACGGCCGCCUCCAUCAAAGCCUCUUGCUUCAUCUCCCUAGAUCUCGUUGCUUAGAUGCAUUUCUUCCAAGAAACAAUCAAAGGCCCAAGUGUCUAGCUCCAGCGCGAUGGUUGAGUCGUGACUUGUGAGGUCCCAGGUUCAAGAGGGUAUGGAGGGAGUGUAUAGCAAGUUAGACACCAAGAAGUUUCUCCCCUAUUUUGCUUUGUCAUUUUCCAUCAAUUCGGUUGAAUAAUUUUUAUUUGAACCAUAUUAUGUUGACAUUGUGAAUUGCGCAACGGGUGUUAUCAUGUGAAUAAUUCUAACACUGAACUUUUUCAUGCGAAUGGUGUUUACCUUUUUCAGGUCCGCCUAUACGAUACUGCAUUGCAAAGAAGACCUGAGUCUCCAAUCAAGACAGUUGCUGCUGAUCCGAAUGGGUAUGAUGCCAUGAUGUCUAGAAACAACGCUGACCUACCUGUGUGCUGAGUUCUAAGUAGUCGGCAAGUUUUUAUUUUCAGAUUUGGAGACUUCUUUUUCACUCAUUCUAACUUGAAGUAUAUGAAAAAAGAGCAAUGCUUGUAGUAAUUUUUAAGGCACCACUAUGCACCCUUUCGCUGUGUUUUGAUGCUUAGUACACCCAGUAAUCUGUAUCUUGUCAUUAACAACUUUUUUUUGUACUGAGUAUACCAACAACAUUCUCAGUGGUAGCACUAAGCAGAUGCAUCUGUUUUCUUGUUCUCAA